AAAGAAGAGACCUUGAAAAACAGCACAGUUGUAAGAGCCUUUCCUGGAGCUGAUAGCUCUAUCCAGAAUGACUCAUAGAGAUGUCUGAGAUAUGUCUGAGAAUCCUUUUAUUCUGGAUGAUGGUAAUGGCAAGAUUCCCACUGAUGUGAGUGAACUUCUACAGACCACUGUAGAUUUAUUGUACAUUCUUAAUUUCAACUGCCCUGAGGGACUAAGUUAAGAUCCAGCUUGAGGGAAGCCAACCUGGCUCAGAAGGACUGAAAUAUGCCAGAUGCCCACCUGGGCAGUCCACGCAGAGGUCUCGGCUGGGGCCGGAGGGGAAGGAAGCUGCUAUUCACACUUGUUGGCAUGGAGAUUUAUGGGCCAGGAAAAUAACCUGGCUCACAAAAGCUAGGUUUUCAAGCUAAUCUUUGAACUGAAAAGCAUCCGGAAUGCCUUCUGGCCCCCAGGCGGAGGGGGUGGCCUGAGGCAAAGACAUCCCUGAGAUGAGGCAUUUGGAAGCUGCGGCCUGUGGCAUGCCUCCUCUGGCAGAAGGCUGAUGGAAGCACUUGACUCCAGGAUGCUGGGGAGAAGUUUCAGUUUAUCUCCUGCGUGUCUGUGCAGGAAAGUUGAUUUAAGUCUCUCUGAAGCCACUUUAUUCAUGCUUUGUGUCCUGGGCUGGGAGGCAUUCCCUAUCUCCAGUGUGCAAGAGCUGGUGUGAGAGCUAGCAGACAUGAGUGUUGCCCAGUCACCUGCUCCCCAGCACAGCAGACUCACUGCUCACUGGAAAUACAGGGUGAAAUGUUGUCUGAGUCAGGACAACAAUUGUUCAAGUGCUUCUUUCACUCCUGUUUGCUAAGAAAGGUACAGGGAAGGAUAGAUCUCGUCAGGAAAAAGCCAUAUAUGCAGUUCUUCAACACGCAGCCAUAGUGAAGGAUUCAUCGGGAAAACAGACAUUCCCAUUGCAGAGUGAAGGCUCCCUUUUGAAAGAAAGUAAGCCUGUGCAAGAAUUCCCAUCCUACUCAGUUUAAAUUAAGACCUCGAAUCCAUUUUUCUCAUGUCUACAGAGUGUAUCUUCACUUCCUCGCUGCUGGAUAUCCUGACCUGAUUGAGCAACGUAAGAUGCAGGGAAGGUGAAACGGAGACAUGCCUAAACUUAUCCCUGGCUACACAUACUCUGUGGAUUGGUUUUUUAUCAUCUAGAUCUGAGUCUGGAUGGAGUGUUCUAUAACCCAUCGCAGCUUGUAUGACUGAGUUCCCCUGGGCAUUUGUGGAAAAUAGUGAAUGUGCAAGCAUGGAGCCUGGGUGGGGCUGGGCAUCCCCUUAGAGCCUUGUAGGAGCUUAAGGCAGACAGUUGCUGAAGAGUCAUAUGGCAGGAGGAGCAUCCUGGAGCUCUACAGAGUGGUGCAAGAGAGAGUUAUGGUUCUGAAGGUUUUUCAUAAAAUCAUAGAAUCCUGAGAGUUUCUACAGAAAAGCUUACAGUUUCAUUCUGAAGGAAGCUUGCAGUACUCUGUCAAAAAUUUAGGCUGUCACUGUAUCUGCUGGGUGAAGAAGUUGUAAAAGACAAAUUACCUUGGAAAUAACACACUAAAGAUGUGCAAAGAGGUCUCUUCAUCUAGCUUAUCUCUUAAGGUGCUGAUAAGAAAUUCCUUCCUCCCCACUCCCAUCCCAAACCUCAUCAUGAAUCCUCACUGAAAACAACUCUCCCAGUCUCCUGAGAGGUGAGGCAACUCCCUGCACUCCACCCUCCUUUCUGCUCCAGCACAGACUGAAAGCUGAAGGACUGAAAUACCAUAGAAGAAGGCUGCUCUUUGCACCGUCAUUGCAUCAAUCACACAGGGUUUGCAGAUGUGAUGAGUACAAGUUGCCUCAGGAGAAAGCAUGCAGAUGUCUACUUGUCUGUAGAGUGACUGAGCCUGAUAAUCUGAUCACAAGUUUGGCAUUAAUUUCAUGGCAUGGCUUCAUGGACAUUUCCUUUCCACAUGUAAGAUGGUGACUAGCAACAAGCACUACUAUCAAUCAGUUAACAUACUUGGGAAUGUGCGUGAUGUUUAGCAAAGAGUUGAGCUGAUGGCACUUUGUAGCCCCCUGAAAUCCUACCAUGCAAAUCCUGUCUGCCUCCAAGGCCCCUGGACAUCUGAGCUGGCUUUGGAAAUACCAGCCUCGUUAGCAGUGACAUUAGCAGAUAUUCUUAAAUCAGGAUGAUUCAGUUAGUGUAGAAUGUGGAGGAAAAUACCCACCUCCAGAGCUGUCCUGAGUUGCUAGGCUGCUCCGUAGUCUCAUGCCUGAGAGAAUUACUUUUAGCGGCAGGGGAUUGCUCUGGGAUGGGGCUGUCCCAGUUGAUGUCAGACACACAAACUCAGCUUCCCUGACAUCAUUUGGCAACAUGAUACAAAAGAAAUGACAUACAUCAUGGAAAAGGCAUGAGGCACAUCCUGACCUUGUUGCUCUGCACACUCGCCACCC
rnacentral:lncRNA from 7 species